UAAUACCGCAUAACAUCCUGCCUUUGAAGAGGCGGACAUCAAAGCUGGGGAUCGCAAGACCCAGCGCUUGAAGAGGGGCCCGCGUCUGAUUAGCUAGUUGGUGGGGUAAUGGCUCACCAAGGCAACGAUCAGUAUCCGGCCUGAGAGGCGGACGGACACACUGGGACUGAGACACGGCCCAGACUCCUACGGGAGGCAGCAGUGGGGAAUUGUUCGCAAUGGGCGCAAGCCUGACGACGCAACGCCGCGUGGAGGAUGAAGACCUUCGGGUCGUAAACUCCUUUCGAUCGAGACGAAUGGCCUUCGGGUUAAUAGCCCGGAGGAGUGACGGUACCGAGAGAAGAAGCCCCGGCUAACUCCGUGCCAGCAGCCGCGGUAAUACGGGGGGGGCAAGCGUUGUUCGGAAUUACUGGGCGUAAAGGGCUCGUAGGCGGCCAACUAAGUCAGACGUGAAAUCCCUCGGCUUAACCGGGGAACUGCGUCUGAUACUGGAUGGCUUGAGUUCGGGAGAGGGAUGCGGAAUUCCAGGUGUAGCGGUGAAAUGCGUAGAUAUCUGGAGGAACACCGGUGGCGAAGGCGGCAUCCUGGACCGAAACUGACGCUGAUGAGCGAAAGCCAGGGGAGCA
rnacentral:rRNA from 1 species